rnacentral:misc_RNA from 1 species
AACCAUUCUCACCUGCGGCUAGACCUGCGGAGGGAUCAUUACCGAGUUUACAACUCCCAAACCCCUGUGAACAUACCUAUACGUUGCCUCGGCGGAUCAGCCCGCGCCCUGUAAAACGGGACGGCCCGCCCGAGGACCCUAAACUCUGUUUUUAGUGGAACUUCUGAGUAAAACAAACAAAUAAAUCAAAACUUUCAACAAUGGAUCU